rnacentral:rRNA from 1 species
UACAGAGGUCCCAAGCGUUGUUCGGAUUCACUGGGCGUAAAGGGUGCGUAGGCGGUCGGGUAAGUCUGAUGUGAAAUCUCACAGCUUAACCGUGAAACUGCAUUGGAUACUAUUCGGCUUGAGAGUUGGAGGGGGGACUGGAAUUCUUGGUGUAGCAGUGAAAUGCGUAGAUAUCAAGAGGAACACCAGUGGCGAAGGCGAGUCCCUGGACAACUUCUGACGCUGAGGCACGAAAGCUAGGGGAGCAAACAGG